rnacentral:rRNA from 1 species
GGGAUAGCCGCCCGAAAGGACGGGUAAUACCGGAUACCCCCGGGCGCCGCAUGGCGCCCGGGCUAAAGCCCCGACGGGAGGGGAUGGCUCCGCGGCCCAUCAGGUAGACGGCGGGGUGACGGCCCACCGUGCCGACAACGGGUAGCCGAGUUGAGAGACCGACCGGCCAGAUUGGGACUGAGACACGGCCCAGACUCCUACGGGAGGCAGCAGUGGGGAAUCUUGCGCAAUGGGGGGAACCCUGACGCAGCGACGCCGCGUGCGGGACGGAGGCCUUCGGGUCGUAAACCGCUUUCAGCAGGGAAGAGUCAAGACUGUACCUGCAGAAGAAGCCCCGGCUAACUACGUGCCAGCAGCCGCGGUAAUACGUAGGGGGCGAGCGUUAUCCGGAUUCAUUGGGCGUAAAGCGCGCGUAGGCGGCCCGGCAGGCCGGGGGUCGAAGCGGGGGGCUCAACCCCCCGAAGCCCCCGGAACCUCCGCGGCUUGGGUCCGGUAGGGGAGGGUGGAACACCCGGUGUAGCGGUGGAAUGCGCAGAUAUCGGGUGGAACACCGGUGGCGAAGGCGGCCCUCUGGGCCGAGACCGACGCUGAGGCGCGAAAGCUGGGGGAGCGAACAGGAUUAGAUACCCUGGUAGUCCCAGCCGUAAACGAUGGACGCUAGGUGUGGGGGGACGAUCCCCCCGUGCCGCAG